rnacentral:rRNA from 1 species
AACGUAGGAGACAAGCGUUAUCCGGAGUUACUGGGCGUAAAGGGCGUGCAGGCGGAGGACUAAGUUCGGUGUGAAAGCGCCUGGCUCAACUGGGCGAGGCCACCGGCGACUGGUGCUCUAGAGGACGGCAGAGGGGUGUGGAAUUCCGGGUGUAGUGGUGAAAUGCGUAGAGAUCCGGAGGAACACCAGAGGCGAAGGCGACACUCUAGGCCGUACCUGACGCUGAGACGCGACAGCACGGGGAGCAAACGGG